UGAGCUGCUCUGACGACCGCUGAGAUGUGGAUUUGAGAUGUGAAUUUCAAAUUAAAUGUCUUGGAGGAAAGUCCGGGCUCCAUAGGGCAGGAUGCCGGGUAACGCCCGGUCGGCGCGAGCUGAAGGAAAGUGCCACAGAAAAUACACAGCCCCUUUGCGGGGUAACGGUGAAAAGGUAGGGUAAGAGCCUACCGAAUGCGGUGCGAGCCGCAUGUCUGGCAAACCCCAUCCGGAGCAAGAUCGAAUAGAGGGGUACGAGGCGGCCCGCCGACCCCUGGGUCGAUCGCUUGAGGUAUGUCGCAAGGCAUAACCCAGAUAAAUGGUCGUCUAGACACAGAACCCGGCUUACGAGCGGCUCAUUUU
rnacentral:RNase_P_RNA from 1 species